AGCAUUGCAUACUAAGCAAGAUGCACUUGCCGUUUGAGUAAACACAUCUAAACGCAUUGUACUUGGAUCACCUUCUACAGCACGUACUUCAUCUGAUAUGGAUCUUUUACAAUUAUUACAUAAUCUGGAUUCAUUAUUCAAGUCAAGAGGUACCUUAUUCCAAAGGCGCGCUCCCCUUACCAUAAAGGAUCUUUGCAGCUCACAGGAUUUCUGAGUUGGAACUGCAAGGACCGUUUUUCUUGCACGAAGCCUGGACUGAGCAGGAGAGGGUACGAUUAAGGAUGUACUCCCAAUCACUCACCGAUUCAACGAAGGGAAUGUCAAGGCCAUCAACCUUAAGCUGAGGCAGAGAUCAUAAUA